GUUCCCCUUCCUUACUCCAGGCUCCUCUUACGCAGUGGGGGGUCCUGGCAUUGUCUGGGGACAGAACAAACGUCUCGCUUGCUAGUCUGGCUGGGCUCGUGUUCCUCCUGGGGUCCGCAUGCGAGUCGACACG